AACGAACGCUGGCGGCAUGCCUAACACAUGCAAGUCGAACGAAGGCUUCGGCCUUAGUGGCGCACGGGUGCGUAACGCGUGGGAAUCUGCCCUCAGGUACGGAAUAACUCAGGGAAACUUGAGCUAAUACCGUAUAACGACUUCGGUCCAAAGAUUUAUCGCCUGGGGAUGAGCCCGCGUCGGAUUAGCUAGUUGGUAGAGUAAAAGCCUACCAAGGCGACGAUCCGUAGCUGGUCUGAGAGGAUGAUCAGCCACACUGAGACUGAGACACGGCCCAGACUCCUACGGGAGGCAGCAGUGGGGAAUAUUGGACAAUGGGCGCAAGCCUGAUCCAGCAAUGCCGCGUGAGUGAUGAAGGCCCUAGGGUUGUAAAGCUCUUUUACCCGGGAAGAUAAUGACUGUACCGGGAGAAUAAGCCCCGGCUAACUCCGUGCCAGCAGCCGCCGUAACAC
rnacentral:rRNA from 1 species